CCCACUGACCAGACCACAAUGUUCAGGUCCC
rnacentral:piRNA from 1 species